AACGAACGCUGGCGGCAUGCCUAACACAUGCAAGUCGAACGAGACCUUCCGGUCUAGUGGCGCACGGGUGCGUAACGCGUGGGAACCUGCCCUUAGGUUCGGAAUAACUCCCCGAAAGGGGUGCUAAUACCGGAUAAUGUCUUCGGACCAAAGAUUUAUCGCCUUUGGAUGGGCCCGCGUUGGAUUAGCUAGUUGGUAGGGUAAAAGCCUACCAAGGCGACGAUCCAUAGCUGGUCUGAUAGGAUGAUCAGCCACACUGGGACUGAGGCACGGCCCAGACUCCUACGGAAGGGAGCAGUAGGGAAUAUUGGAGGAUGGGCGAAAGCCUGAUCCAGCAAUGCCGCGUGAGUGAUGAAGGCCUUAGGGUUGUAAAGCUCUUUUACCCGGGAUGAGAAUGACAGUACCGGGAGAAGAAGCUCCGGCUAACUCCGUG
rnacentral:rRNA from 1 species